UUUCUUUCAAAACAAGCAGAUCUGUGUCUGGCGAUCCCGUCCAGUCCUUUUUUCCUUCUUCGGAAGGAAAAAAAAGGCUGUGCUCUGGUUGAUUGCCAGGCAGUUCGACGACAAUGGAGCCAUCAUACAACUGAUGUCAAUUUCCUGUCGACAGAUCUGAGAUUGAUGAGCAGCUUCCGGUACCUUUUCCUGAUCUUGAGCUCCCUUUGCCUGGCAUUGGUGAGCUCGGUUGGGAAGCCGGAUUGCUGCCGGCGUCAUAUUCCCACUCCCUUUACCGAUCUUUUUUUUGGCCGUUGGCUGAUGAGGAUGGGGAAAAACCAUGACAGCCAACAUAC
rnacentral:sRNA from 1 species